AACGAACGCUGGCGGCAUGCCUAACACAUGCAAGUCGAACGAGACCUUCGGGUCUAGUGGCGCACGGGUGCGUAACGCGUGGGAACCUGCCCUUAGGUUCGGAAUAACUCCCCGAAAGGGGUGCUAAUACCGGAUAAUGUCUUCGGACCAAAGAUUUAUCGCCUUUGGAUGGGCCCGCGUUGGAUUAGCUCGUUGGUAGGGUAAAAGCCUACCAAGGCGACGAUCCAUAGCUGGUCUGAGAGGAUGAUCAGCCACACUGGGAAUGAGACACGGCCCAGACUUCUACGGGAAGCAACAAUAGGGAAUAUAGGACUAUGGGGGAAAGCCUUGACCAGCAAUGACGGGUGAAGGAUAAAGGGAUUAAGGGUGAUAAGCUCUUUUACCCGGGAUGAUAAUGACAGUACCGGGAGAAUAAGCUCCGGCUAACUCCGUG
rnacentral:rRNA from 1 species